rnacentral:rRNA from 1 species
CGGCAGGCUUAACACAUGCAAGUCGAGGGGUAUAGUUCUUCGGAAUUAGAGACCGGCGCACGGGUAGCGUAACGCGUAUGCAAUCUACCUUCACAGAGGGAUAGCCCAGAGAAAUUUGGAUUAAUACCUCAUAGUAUAGCAGUUUCGCAUGAAACCACUAUUAAAGUCACAACGGUGAAAGAUGAGCAUGCGUCCCAUUAGCUAGUUGGUAAGGUAACGGCUUACCAAGGCAACGAUGGGUAGGGGGUCCUGAGAGGGAGAUCCCCCACACUGGUACUGAGACACGGACCAGACUCCUACGGGAGGCAGCAGUGAGGAAUAUUGGUCAAUGGACGCAAGUCUGAACCAGCCAUGCCGCGUGCAGGAUGACGGUCCUAUGGAUUGUAAACUGCUUUUGUACGAGAAGAAACAACAUUACGUGUAAUGUCUUGACGGUAUCGUAAGAAUAAGGAUCGGCUAACUCCGUG